AUUGAACGCUGGCGGCAUGCCUUACACAUGCAAGUCGAACGGCAGCACGGGUGCUUGCCCCUGGUGGCGAGUGGCGAACGGGUGAGUAAUACAUCGGAACAUGUCCUGUAGUGGGGGAUAGCCCGGCGAAAGCCGGAUUAAUACCGCAUACGAUCUACGGAUGAAAGCGGGGGACCUUCGGGCCUCGCGCUAUAGGGUUGGCCGAUGGCUGAUUAGCUAGUUGGUGGGGUAAAGGCCUACCAAGGCGACGAUCAGUAGCUGGUCUGAGAGGACGACCAGCCACACUGGAACUGAGACACGGCCCAGACUCCUACGGGAGGCAGCAGUGGGGAAUUUUGGACAAUGGGCGAAAGCCUGAUCCAGCAAUGCCGCGUGUGUGAAGAAGGCCUUCGGGUUGUAAAGCACUUUUGUCCGGAAAGAAAUCCUUGGCCCUAAUACGGUCGGGGGAUGACGGUACCGGAAGAAUAAGCACCGGCUAACUACGUG
rnacentral:rRNA from 1 species